rnacentral:piRNA from 1 species
UUAGCAGGUGAUUAGGUAUGGCUA